rnacentral:misc_RNA from 1 species
GAUGAAGAACGUAGCGAAAUGCGAUAACUAAUGUGAAUUGCAGAAUUCCGUGAAUCAUCGAAUCUUUGAACGCACCUUGCGCCUUUUGGUAUUCCGAAAGGCACACCUGUUUGAGCGUCAUGAAUACCUCAAUCUCCAUCUUUUCUUCGGAUUGAUGGGUGACUUGGAUGUUGAGCCCUGCUGGUAUGCUAUAUCAGCUGGCUUUAAACUUAUUAGCCGGCUCUGUACUGGAUCGGUUUGACUCGACGUGAUAAUAUUAUCGUUGAGGAUGCAUGUCUCAUGCAGCCGGAAAGUAUCAAAGCAGCUUCUAGCUUGCCUUUAGUGCACUUUUACAUUUUAGACCUCAGAUCAGGUGGGACUACCCGCUGAACUUAAGCAUAUCAAUAAGCGGAGGA